GGACCCGCACAAGUAGUGGAGCAUGUGGUUUAAUUCGAAGAUACGCGCAGAACCUUACCAACACUUGACAUGUUCGUCGCGACUUUAAGAGAUUAAAGUUUUCGGUUCGGCCGGACGAAACACAGGUGCUGCAUGGCUGUCGUCAGCUCGUGUCGUGAGAUGUUGGGUUAAGUCCCGCAACGAGCGCAACCCUCACUUUUAGUUGCCAUCAUUUAGUUGGGCACUCUGAAAGAACUGCCAGUGAUAAGCUGGAGGAAGGUGGGGAUGACGUCAAGUCCUCAUGGCCCUUACGUGUUGGGCUACACACGUGCUACAAUGGUAUCUACAACAGGAAGCAAAAACGGCGACGUU
rnacentral:rRNA from 1 species